CUACGGGUGGCUGCAGUGGGGAAUAUUGGACAAUGGGGGAAACCCUGAUCCAGCAAUGCCGCGUGUGUGAAGAAGGCCUGCGGGUUGUAAAGCACUUUCGGUUGGGAGGACUGCUUCUAGCACUAAUAUUGUUGGAAGUUGACGUUACCUUCAGAAGAAGCACCGGCUAACUCCGUGCCAGCAGCCGCGGUAAUACGGAGGGUGCAGGCGUUAAGCGGAAUUACUGGGCGUAAAGCGCGCGUAGGCGGCUAGAUCAGUCGGGUGUGAAAGCCCCGGGCUUAACCUGGGAACUGCAUCCGAUACUGUCUAGCUUGAGUACAGGAGAGGAGAGUGGAAUUCCAGAUGUAGCGGUGAAAUGCGUAGAUAUGUGGAGGAACACCAAUGGCGAAGGCAGCUCUCUGGCCUGAUACUGACGCUGAGGUGCGAAAGCGUGGGGAGCAAACAGGAUUAGAUACCCCGGUAGUC
rnacentral:rRNA from 1 species